CCUGCCCCCUGACCCUGCUCAUGCGAGGUCCUGACAGACCCUGGACAUCGAGUGCCCCUGGCUCACAGAUUCGGGGGACACACAAGUGGUUUCACUCCAGGCAGCGAUAUGGGUCCUCACACUUGAGGUCGGUGAGUUUCUGUAAUGAAGCCCCUUUGGAUGCAGGGCAGGCUGGACAUCGAGGCCCUCCAGGCUCGGGCACCUUCCCACAGAGGAAGCACCUCUCUGGCCACGGGGCACUGGGGCCACACGAUUGCCCUCUAUUGCCGUUCAUAGGGCCUGCCCUCUCUCACCCCUAGGAAAUGUGCUCCUCCUGGUUAGGAACGGCUCUGGUAGCUCUCCACCCCCCCGGGGCAAGCCACCUCCUGGCUUGGUUACACUCCUGCUUGCUUCUGGUCCCCUCGGAGGGGCAGGGACCCAGGGUCUCUGGUGCUGUGCUGGCACAGUGACAGCCAGGCACACAGCAGGCACUCACUCUGUGAACAGGUGGUCAGGGGGUCACAGGGACACGCACAGCCUGAGGUUCUGGGGCAGGGUCUGCGCUCAGCUCCGGAGCUCCUCAUCCAAGGAGGGGCAAGGGCAGGCUGGGUGCCUGGGCCCAGGGGCACUUGGGACCCAUCUCAGUGGAGAGGCACUGAGGUUGAGGAGUUUCCUAAGAGAGAACUGGGUUGUGUAUUUGUGUGUGUGUCCAGGAGAAAGAGAGAGAGACAGAGAGGGUUCCACUAAAACUCUCUGCUCUGAAGGGCUGCCCUGUGGAAGGAAGAGUGCAGGGGAAGGGGGAGUCCAGAGGAAAACUUGAGAGUGGACUUUUCAAGGAAAAAGAUGUCCCGGAAAGAAAGACUUUGCUCUCAGCUCUGCCUGCACAUACAACAGUUCUCCGGGAGUGGGAAGUGGGGAGGGUCCCUUCACUGUGGGUAGAAGAGGCAGCAAAUCUGAAGCCAGUGCCAGGAGGGGGCAUGGGCUGGGGGCCUUCUGAGUACUCCUGGUGGCUACAGUCAUGGCGCUGCAGCUGGCCCAGAGCCCUGGGGUGCACGUGGGUGAUGACAUGGGGCCGGCAGGAAGGAGACAUUUAUUGACCCACCUGCUGCUUACUGGACAUUAAACAAGCGGCUGAAAUGUGUCUCAUCCCAGAUUGGCUGGCUUUACGGCCGUUCUGACACAGAGCAGAUGGGGGCGUGUAGACGAGGCCUGCCAGAUCCUGGAGGGCUCUGCACUCAGUUUCUUCUCCAAGCCAUGCUGCUGGCCGGGGCCUGCUGGUCACCCACCCGUGGGAAUGAAGGGGGACCACGGAGCCCCAGCUCGGGACAGGUAGGCUCUUCCAGUGGGCCUGCGAGCCCUCCUACAAUCAGUGCCAGAACAAAUUCAGGAUGAGGACCAGUCUCCUGAACGCAGUGUGGAAGCCACCUCCUAUGACUCUCUUUGUGGAUUGGCUCGCAUUUUAUUUUGUAACAAAUUCACCAUCACUUUGCUCUCCCAAGGUUCUGGGUCACACAGAAAUAAAAGAAUAAAAGCCCAUUUAACAUUGUUCAUAACAGCCUUUGUGAUUAGGAAAAUGACAGGCAUUCAUUCCUGCUCAAUCCGCAGCUCCUAAGUCAAAUUUCACAAAGGCGUUGUUGAUGAAUUCUGUGAAUGGGGGGCUGGUGUGCCGGCUUUGCUUUCCCCAUGAUAAAUAUUCAUGUGGAGACCAGAGACAAAGACAUUGAGGUUCAAAUCCAGGGCACGCUUGUAUGCAGCCCUGAACACGCUGGAUUCUGCAGAAAUGCCCCGUGUGUCAUAAGACAUGUGAGAGCCACCGCCUCCCCUGGACUCAGUGACGAGGGCUGUGCAUCAGGCACCUUGCAGGCAAUACUCAGACCUGACUGCCCGCAGCCGUGGGCCUUAUUGGAGGCUACAGGUGAGCUUUGAGAAGCUGGGAGAAGAAAAGACCUCUCGGUUGCUAUGUGGCAGUCGCUGGGUUGUGGAGAAGGGACGCUGGUCUACAGGAUGCUGGGCUCAUUGCAGAAGCCCCAAACUUGAAGAAUGUCAGAUGCACCAGAGUCGACUACAGUCCCCUCCUCACGGGAGCCCCGAAGGAGGAGUUCCAGGUUUAGCUUUGCCAUGUAAAUAGUUCAGAAGUCAUCACUUCCAUCCUGCCAACACGAAAAAGGCUGAACAAACUGAAAAUCAAUGACUUUCCUUGCACCGUCUGAGAAUUAAGGAGGCAGGACAAACUGCCUCCCUGCAAUCUGGAAAGACAGAUGGAUGUGCAGAAUCACAGCUGAGGCCCGAUCACCUGGGCGGAAGCCACUGCAGCCUCACACGAGCGGGAACGCACACACGCUCGUUUUGAUGACUUGUGAAGGCCAAGCGUGGAUUGGCUGGAGAGAGAGAAACUCCUGGGGACUACAGGUUAAGGGGGACUCCACACUUGUGUGGGAUCUACCUCCAGGAACCCCACCAGGUUCCUGUAGUGAAGAGCACAGGAAGCCUUUCUAAUGUCUGGGCAGGAGGAGGGCCACAGAGCCUUUCUGAAACCUGCCCAGUGUUCUCCAUAACAGAUGCCUACUUAGCAGUCAGGAAGGAAAGCACCGAAGCCUGUGCACUUGGGGGCAGGGUGCGGGCUCACUCCAGCUCCCCCUGGGUUCUUGUCUCACUGAAGAGGGGAAGAAAGGUAGGAAACGCUUGUAGAGGACAAGCCAAAGACACAGACCCACUAAGGAAGUGAAACUUAAUCAUAGGAUUAUCAAAAGCUUCACCUCCCCGCAAUUCACUGCUCCGCUGAUGGGGCUUCCAGACAUUGGUAGAGGAUUACAGCAGAAAAGAUGCAAGCUACACCCUCUCACUCUGGAGGUGAAGCCCAGGCAACUGGUAGUGAGAGGACAGACCAAAGCAAAGAAUGUUCCCGGAGCCUGCAGCCCCAGCACUCACUGAACAUAUCUACUAGCCAGAUUAGCACAAAACCUCAUGCUAAAGACCGACUUACUCCAGUCCCUAUUAACAGGUACAUCACAUAUGGCUUUUUUGUUGUUGUUGCUUGUUUUUUUGAGAUGGAGUCUCGCUCUGUCACCCAG
rnacentral:lncRNA from 1 species